GACGAACGCUGGCGGCGUGCCUAAUACAUGCAAGUGGGACGCAAGGAAACACACUGUGCUUGCACACCGUGUUUUCUUGAGUCGCGAACGGGUGAGUAACGCGUAGGUAACCUGCCUAUUAGCGGGGGAUAACUAUUGGAAACGAUAGCUAAUACCGCAUAAUAUUAAUUAUUGCAUGAUAAUUGAUUGAAAGAUGCAAGCGCAUCACUAGUAGAUGGACCUGCGUUGUAUUAGCUAGUUGGUAAGGUAAGAGCUUACCAAGGCGACGAUACAUAGCCGACCUGAGAGGGUGAUCGGCCACACUGGGACUGAGACACGGCCCAGACUCCUACAGGAGGCAGCAGUAGGGAAUCUUCGGCAAUGGACGAAAGUCUGACCGAGCAACGCCGCGUGAGUGAAGAAGGUUUUCGGAUCGUAAAGCUCUGUUGUAAGUCAAGAACGUGUGUGAGAGUGGAAAGUUCACACAGUGACG
rnacentral:rRNA from 1 species